rnacentral:rRNA from 1 species
GGUUAAGCGACUAAGCGUACACGGUGGAUGCCCUGGCAGUCAGAGGCGAUGAAGGACGUGCUAAUCUGCGAUAAGCGUCGGUAAGGUGAUAUGAACCGUUAUAACCGGCGAUUUCCGAAUGGGGAAACCCAGUGUGAUUCGUCACACUAUCAUUACGUGAAUACAUAGCGUAAUGAAGCGAACCGGGGGAACUGAAACAUCUAAGUACCCCGAGGAAAAGAAAUCAACCGAGAUUCCCCCAGUAGCGGCGAGCGAACGGGGAGCAGCCCAGAGUCUGAAUCAGCAUGUGUGGUAGUGGAACGGUCUGGAAAGUCCGGCGAUACAGGGUGAUAGCCCCGUACACAAAAGUGCAUGUGUUGUGAACUCGAAGAGUAGGGCGGGACACGUGGUAUCCUGUCUGAAUAUGGGGGGACCAUCCUCCAAGGCUAAAUACUCCUGACUGACCGAUAGUGAACCAGUACCGUGAGGGAAAGGCGAAAAGAACCCCGGCGAGGGGAGUGAAAAAGAACCUGAAACCGUGUACGUACAAGCAGUGGGAGCCUCUUUAUGGGGUGACUGCGUACCUUUUGUAUAAUGGGUCAGCGACUUAUAUUCUGUAGCAAGGUUAACCGAAUAGGGGAGCCGAAGGGAAACCGAGUCUUAACUGGGCGUUAAGUUGCAGGGUAUAGACCCGAAACCCGGUGAUCUAGCCAUGGGCAGGUUGAAGGUUGGGUAACACUAACUGGAGGACCGAACCGACUAAUGUUGAAAAAUUAGCGGAUGACUUGUGGCUGGGGGUGAAAGGCCAAUCAAACCGGGAGAUAGCUGGUUCUCCCCGAAAGCUAUUUAGGUAGCGCCUCGUGAAUUCAUCUUCGGGGGUAGAGCACUGUUUCGGCUAGGGGGUCAUCCCGACUUACCAACCCGAUGCAAACUGCGAAUACCGAAGAAUGUUAUCACGGGAGACACACGGCGGGUGCUAACGUCCGUCGUGAAGAGGGAAACAACCCAGACCGCCAGCUAAGGUCCCAAAGUCAUGGUUAAGUGGGAAACGAUGUGGGAAGGCACAGACAGCCAGGAUGUUGGCUUAGAAGCAGCCAUCAUUUAAAGAAAGCGUAAUAGCUCACUGGUCGAGUCGGCCUGCGCGGAAGAUGUAACGGGGCUAAACCAUGCACCGAAGCUGCGGCAGCGACACUAUGUGUUGUUGGGUAGGGGAGCG